rnacentral:rRNA from 1 species
UGGGGAAUAUUGGACAAUGGGCGAAAGCCUGAUCCAGCCAUGCCGCAUGAGUGAAGAAGGCCUUUGGGUUGUAAAGCUCUUUUAGUGAGGAAGAUAAUGACGGUACUCACAGAAGAAGUCCUGGCUAACUCCGUGCCAGCAGCCGCGGUAAUAUGGAGAGGGCUAGCGUUAUUCGGAAUUAUUGGGCGUAAAGGGCGCGUAGGCGGAUUAGUAAGUUAAAAGUGAAAUCCCAAGGCUCAACCUUGGAAUUGCUUUUAAAACUGCUAAUCUAGAGAUUGAAAGAGGAUAGAGGAAUUCCUAGUGUAGAGGUGAAAUUCGUAAAUAUUAGGAGGAACACCAGUGGCGAAGGCGUCUAUCUGGUUCAAAUCUGACGCUGAGGCGCGUAGGCGUGGGGAGCAAACA